GGGGGUUAGCGUGUUCGGAAUUACUGGGCGUAAAGCGUACGUAGGCGGAUUAGUCAGUCAGAGGUGAAAUCCCAGGGCUCAACCCUGGAACUGCCUUUAAUACUGCUAGUCUAGAGUUCGAGAGAGGUGAGUGGAAUUCCAAGUGUAGAGGUGAAAUUCGUAGAUAUUUGGAGGAACACCAGUGGCGAAGGCGGCUCACUGGCUCGAUACUGACGCUGAGGUACGAAAGUGUGGGGAGCAAACAGGAUUAGAUACCCUGGUAGUCCACGCCGUAAACGAUGUCAACUAGCCGUUGGGAGGGUAAUCCUUUUAGUGGCGCAGCUAACGCUCUAAGUUGACCGCCUGGGGAGUACGGUCGCAAGAUUAAAACUCAAAGGAAUUGACGGGGGCCCGCACAAGCGGUGGAGCAUGUGGUUUAAUUCGACGCAACGCGAAGAACCUUACCAGGUCUUGACUUCCUGACUAUGGUUAACAGAGAUGUUUUCCUUCAGUUCGGCUGGGUCAGUGACAGGUGCUGCAUGGCU
rnacentral:rRNA from 1 species